rnacentral:rRNA from 1 species
AAUAGAUACCCGGGUAGUCCUAGCCGUAAACGAUGAACACUAGGCGUAGUCGGUAUCGACCCCGGCUGUGCCGUAGCUAACGCAUUAAGUGUUCCGCCUGGGGAGUACGGCCGCAAGGCUAAAACUCAAAGGAAUUGGCGGGGGCCCGCACAAGCAGCGGAGCGUGUGGUUUAAUUCGUCGCAACGCGAAGAACCUUACCAGGGCUUGACAUGUGGCGGAAAACGGCGGAAACGUCGUCCUCCCGCAAGGGACCGUCAUGCAGGUGUUGCAUGGCUGUCGUCAGCUCGUGUCAUGAGAUGUUGGGUUAAGUCCCGCAACGAGCGCAACCCCCGUGGCAUGUUGUAUCUCUCAUGCCAGACUGCCGAGAGAAACUCGGAGGAAGGUGGGGAUGACGCCAAGUCAGCAUGGCCCUUACGUCCUGGGCUACACACACGCUACAAUGGCCGGUACAACGGGUUGCCAAACCGCGAGGUGGAGCUAAUCCCUUAAAGCCGGUCUCAGUUCGGAUUGCAGGCUGCAACUCGCCUGCA